ACGAACGCUGGCGGCGUGCCUAACACAUGCAAGUCGAGCGAGGGACUUCGGUCCCUAGCGGCGGACGGGUGAGUAACACGUGGGUAACCUGCCUCAUAGAGGGGGAUAGCCUCCCGAAAGGGAGAUUAAUACCGCAUAUGCUCUUGAUACCGCAUGGUAUUUAGAGGAAAGGAGCAAUCCGCUAUGAGAUGGACCCGCGGCGCAUUAGCUAGUUGGUGAGGUAACGGCUCACCAAGGCCACGAUGCGUAGCCGACCUGAGAGGGUGAUCGGCCACAUUGGAGCUGAGACACGGUCCAGACUCCUACGGGAGGCAGCAGUGGGGAAUAUUGCACAAUGGGCGAAAGCCUGAUGCAGCAACGCCGCGUGAGUGAUGAAGGCCUUCGGGUUGUAAAGCUCUGUCUUUUGGGACGAUAAUGACGGUACCAAAGGAGGAAGCCACGGCUAACUACGUGCCAGCAGCCGCGGUAAUACGUAGGUGGCAAGCGUUGUCCGGAUUUACUGGGCGUAAAGGAUGCGUAGGUGGAUAUUUAAGUGGGAUGUGAAAUACCCGGGCUCAACUUGGGUGCUGCAUUCCAAACUGGAUAUCUAGAGUGCAGGAGAGGUAAGUGGAAUUCCUAGUGUAGCGGUGAAAUGCGUAGAGAUUAGGAAGAACACCAGUGGCGAAGGCGACUUACUGGACUGUAACUGACACUGAGGCAUGAAAGCGUGGGGAGCAAACAGGAUUAGAUACCCUGGUAGUCCACGCCGUAAACGAUGGGUACUAGGUGUAGGAGGGGUCCAACCUUCUGUGCCGCCGUUAACACAAUAAGUACCCCGCCUGGGGGAGUACGGUCGCAAGAUUAAAACUCAAAGGAAUUGACGGGGGCCCGCACAAGCAGCGGAGCAUGUGGUUUAAUUCGAAGCAACGCGAAGAACCUUACCUAGACUUGACAUCUCCUGAAUUACUCUUAAUCGAGGAAGCCCUUCGGGGCAGGAAGACAGGUGGUGCAUGGUUGUCGUCAGCUCGUGUCGUGAGAUGCUGGGUUAAGUCCCGCAACGAGCGCAACCCUUAUCAUUAGUUGCUACCAUUAAGUUGAGCACUCUAGUGAGACUGCCCGGGUUAACCGGGAGGAAGGUGGGGAUGACGUCAAAUCAUCAUGCCCCUUAUGUCUAGGGCUACACACGUGCUACAAUGGUAGGUACAAUAAGAAGCAAGACCGUGAGGUGGAGCAAAACUGAAAAACCUAUCCCAGUUCGGAUUGAAGGCUGAAACUCGCCUCCAUGAAGCCGGAGUUGCUAGUAAUCGCGAAUCAGCAUGUCGCGGUGAAUACGUUCCCGGGCCUUGUACACACCGCCCGUCACACCAUGAGAGUUGGCAAUACCCAAAGUCCGUGAGGCAACCGUAAGGAGCCAGCGGCCUAAGGUAGGGUCAGCGAUUGGGGUG
rnacentral:rRNA from 1 species